AAUGCCUGGAUAAUACUUUGUGAGGUACAGCAGAGAUCGGUGUUCCUGCUGCCCAAUGACAUUCCAGCUCAAACAGCAAAAAUUAAAAGGACUCUGACAAAUAAAUAAGACAACACAUACCUCAUUUAUCCCAAAGGUACAGGACGACUUCACCACAUUGAGGGACCAAUGAGCAGGACCAUGUACAAUAAAAUCUUGGACAAUACCCUUGUUUGCUCACCCAGAACACUAAAGAUGGGUCAAGGAUGACUUUUCCAGCAUGGCAGUAGCCAAAACCAAGGCAACAAAGAAGAACAUUAAGAUUAUGGAGUAGCUUAGCCACUCUCCAAACUCAGUCCUAUAGAAAAUUGGUGGAGGGAGCUGAACCUUUGAGUUUCCAAGUUGCAGCCAAGAAACCUAAAAAAGUUUCUGUAAAGAGGAGCGGGCCGAAAUCCCUCCUCAGAUGUGCACAAACCUGGUGACCAACUACAAAAAAACUUCUUACCACCAUGCUUGCUAACAAGGGUUUCUCCAGCAAGUACUAAAUCAUGUUUUGAUUGGGGCUCAAAUACUUACUUCACUGAAUGAUAUGCAAAUCAUCUUAUAAUUUUUAUGUAAUGUUUUCUUUCUGGGUUCUUGAUUAAAAUCCUCCUCUAUCCUUUCUCUCUCAGUUAAAAUAA